rnacentral:rRNA from 1 species
AUUGAACGCUGGCGGCAGGCCUAACACAUGCCAGUCGAACGGUAACAGGAAGAAGCUUGCUUCUUUGCUGACGAGUGGCGGACGGGUGAGUAAUGUCUGGGAAACUGCCUGAUGGAGGGGGAUAACUACUGGAAACGGUAGCUAAUACCGCAUAAUGUCGCAAGACCAAAGAGGGGGACCUUCGGGCCUCUUGCCAUCGGAUGUGCCCAGAUGGGAUUAGCUAGUAGGUGGGGUAACGGCUCACCUAGGCGACGAUCCCUAGCUGGUCUGAGAGGAUGACCAGCCACACUGGAACUGAGACACGGUCCAGACUCCUACGGGAGGCAGCAGUGGGGAAUAUUGCACAAUGGGCGCAAGCCUGAUGCAGCUAUGCCGCGUGUAUGAAGAAGGCCUUCGGGUUGUAAAGUACUUUCAGAGGGGAGGAAGGGAGUAAAGUUAAUACCUUUGCUCAUUGACGUUACCCGCAGAAGAAGCACCGGCUAACUCCGUG